AGUCAUUUAGCUUAUGUGCAAAGCAUUUACUUUGAAAGUUUAAGAAAGAUUUUAAUUUAAUGACUU
rnacentral:tRNA from 1 species